UACAAAAUUUCAAUUUCACAACUAUAUAUGCACAUCCUGACCUUGGCCUUGUGAAAAAGAUUCUUGCUGCGCGUCCAUUGCAGGCUCGGGGCUUGCAACUAAAAAGUAUUGCGAUCGUCGUGAAAAAUUUUCGUUGAGGAAAAUUCGCGAAAAAAAGUAACGUUCAGGAAAAUGAGCGACCUUGAAAAGGGAAAAGUAAAAUUAACGAAAUUGUGAUAUUACAUCAAUAAACCAAUAAUUUUAUUAUUUAGCUCGUGUGUGAGUGUGGGUAAGAAGCCGCAAAAGUAUACAUGGAUUAGAUCAAAUAUAGAACGUUAGACUGGAUCAAAGUAAUAAUGUUUUGUGGAUUUUUCAUUGAUAUCUCCGAAGUUACAGGGUUAAAUUUCACAGAAGAUAAUCCUAUCGAAAGAAUUUACAAAAGGCUUCGCUGUCAAAAAACAUUG